GGUCGGAUAGCUCAGCCGGUAGUAGCGCUUCCCUGAAAAGGAAGAGGUCGGCGGUUCGAUCCCGCCUCCGACCA
rnacentral:tRNA from 1 species